AGAGUUUGAUCCUGGCUCAGGAUGAACGCUGGCGGCGUGCCUAACACAUGCAAGUCGAACGAAGCGGUUUUGGUGAAGUUUUCGGAUGGAACCGAAAUUGACUGAGUGGCGGACGGGUGAGUAACGCGUGGGUAACCUGCCUCACACAGGGGGAUAACAGUUAGAAAUGACUGCUAAUACCGCAUAAGCGCACGGAGACGCAUGUCUUUGUGUGAAAAGCCUUAACGGUGUGAGAUGGACCCGCGUCUGAUUAGCUAGUUGGCAGGGUAACGGCCUACCAAGGCGACGAUCAGUAGCCGACCUGAGAGGGUGACAGGCCACAUUGGGACUGAGACACGGCCCAAACUCCUACGGGAGGCAGCAGUGGGGGAUAUUGCACAAUGGGGGAAACCCUGAUGCAGCGACGCCGCGUGAGUGAAGAAGUAUUUCGGUAUGUAAAGCUCUAUCAGCAGGGACGAAAAUGACGGUACCUGAGUAAGAAGCCCCGGCUAACUACGUGCCAGCAGCCGCGGUAAUACGUAGGGGGCAGGCGUUAUCCGGAUUUACUGGGUGUAAAGGGAGCGUAGACGGCGAAGCAAGUCUGAAGUGAAAGCCCGGGGCUCAACCGCGGGACUGCUUUGGAAACUGUUUUGCUGGAGUGCUGGAGAGGCAGGCGGAAUUCCUAGUGUAGCGGUGAAAUGCGUAGAUAUUAGGAGGAACACCAGUGGCGAAGGCGGCCUGCUGGACAGUAACUGACGUUGAGGCUCGAAAGCGUGGGGAGCAAACAGGAUUAGAUACCCUGGUAGUCCACGCGGUAAACGAUGAAUGCUAGGUGUUGGAGAGCAAAGCUCUUCGGUGCCGCCGCAAACGCAGUAAGCAUUCCACCUGGGGAGUACGUUCGCAAGAAUGAAACUCAAAGGAAUUGACGGGGACCCGCACAAGCGGUGGAGCAUGUGGUUUAAUUCGAAGCAACGCGAAGAACCUUACCAAGCCUUGACAUCCCCCUGAAUAGAGGGUAAUGCCUUUAGUCCUUCGGGACAGGGGAGACAGGUGGUGCAUGGUUGUCGUCAGCUCGUGUCGUGAGAUGUUGGGUUAAGUCCCGCAACGAGCGCAACCCUUAUCCUUAGUAGCCAGCAGUAAGAUGGGGACUCUAGGGAGACUGCCAGGGACAACCUGGAGGAGGGCGGGGAUGACGUCAAAUCAUCAUGCCCCUUAUGGCUUGGGCUACACACGUGCUACAAUGGCGCAGACAGAGGGAAGCGAGGGCGCGAGCCGGAGCGAAUCCCAAAAAGAGCGUCUCAGUUCGGACUGUAGUCUGCAACCCGACUACACGAAGCUGGAAUCGCUAGUAAUCGCGGAUCAGAAUGCCGCGGUGAAUACGUUCCCGGGUCUUGUACACACCGCCCGUCACACCAUGGGAGUCAGCAACGCCCGAAGUCAGUGACCCAACCUGUGAAGGAGGGAGCUGCCGAAGGCGGGGCGGGUAACUGGGGUGAAGUCGUAACAAGGUA
rnacentral:rRNA from 1 species